UGGCACGAGCUCUAAGAUCUGCCGGGGCGAGGGGGGCUUCUCUCGGUUCCAGCUCUGUCUUAAGAACAAGUGGGGAUGAGAGAGGGGGCCUUCUCAGUGGUGGCCCCCCGGCUUUGAGAAUGCUCUCCCCAGGGAUAUUAGGCUUGCCCCUACAUUACAAUGUUUUUGUAAGGAGCUGAAAACAUGGCUGUUCAGGUAGGCCUUUAGAAAUGAUUAAGACAUCUGCUAAUCUAAGGACCAAACUAUUUAAUACUGACACUAGCACUUUAAUGGUUGAAUUGGACUGUGGCUGAGGUGCUGUACUAUUCAUUUUAAUUGGUAAUUAGAUUUAUUAGUUAAAGUGUUGUUUUUUUAUCUCAACCAAUGUUGCCAUUGUUUAAUAUGUUGAUGUAAUUUUAUCUUUAUCUAUGUGUUAUGGCACUUGUAUGUGCUUCUGUAAGCUGUCCCAUGUCCUUCUGGGAGAUGGUGGUGGGGUAGAAAUAAAGCUAUUAUUAUUACCAGGACCCCAUGGAUUCUCCAUGAUGUGUGGCAAAUCCAUGGACUUUUGUUAUGAGGUCCUUAGUAAGUUUUUUGGAAACUCAUGAGGAGCACUGACACUUCUGUACACUUACACCAUAGUAUUAAAGUUAUCUAUUUAAAAUUCUAUGUUCAGGACAAUAAUAUUGAGGUUUGAAUCCCGCCCCCUCUCUCUCUCACACACACACACACACACUGACACCCAGUCUUUACUUUAGAGUUAUCUAGUCCGUACCAAAAAGAACAAACUUAAUAGCCCCACUGUCUUGCUGUGGAGCUUUUGAUUGUGAGGCAUGAAACAUUUGACAAUCAUACCUGGGGGAAAAAAACAAUCAAAUACAGCUUUUUCAUGCUGAAAAUUGUCUUCACAAAGCAGCAGCUACUAAAAGGAAGUGACUGGAUGUAUUUCAAAAACAGUGAAUGCAAUGACACAGUGCUCAGAGAAGUAUGUUAUGGUUUGUUUGGCUUUGAGUUAAAGGACCUCUUAGGGGUCAGCAGGGGCUGAAACUCCUCCAAGAUUACUGUUUGUUCCAGUUGAAUUGCUAUUGUUACUUAGCAAUCUGUUCCUCCGCUUUUUCCCAAACAUCUCUCAUAAAAGCCAAUGCCACUAUUUUCUGUACUCUAUGAAUUCCACCAUAAAGGAAGGACAUUACUUCUCAUGUCCAGCUGGCAUACAAAGGUAUGCCCUCUUUAGAAACUUUGUACAAAGCUCUCAUGAUUACUAUAACUUCAGGAAGGAAGGGAUGCAAUUUUAAGGAGUUGAAUAUUUGAUAGUGCCUCUCCUUAACCUAAAGGAAUAUUCUCACAAAAGACUGCAGUUUAUUUAAUCUACAUUACUUUCUCCGAGCCUAUCUGCAGUCUAUCCAUUGAGUUUUUGUUAAAGUAUGUUCUCCUUCUUAACUACUGUAGAGUUUCUCAGCUAUUGUCAUAAAGAUUAUUUCUAAUUAAAUAACAACAAUUCUAAUGUCCUACAGUAUGGUAUCUAUCAUCGCUUUAAACUUCAGCUAUCAACCACAUGGUAAUCUAUGGGUCACAACACUUACUCUGAAAAGAAUAAUUUCAUACAAUGGAAACAAUGUCUCAGGUGGUAUGAGAACUAUUUCUUAAAACAAGAAAAAGAAGCCUCUUGAGAUAUCCAUACAUUGAUUUUGAGCCCCCUUUUCCAGAUGACAGACAACUGGAUAUGAAUGGCAAUACUACUUUAUCCUGGAAAUUAUACUUCAAAAGUUAUGUGAAAUUGAAUACCUUCUAGAUCAGUGGUUCCCAACUUGUGGUUCCCCAGAUGUUUUGGCCUUCCACUCCCAAAAAUCUGAACAGUUGGUAAACUGGCUAGGAUUUCUGGGAGUUGAGAACCACUGCUCUAGAUUGUGAUGAGCAGCCAAAUAAGAUCUAUCUUGAAAGAACAAAAGUUCCUUCUUUAACAGGUAUGUAUCAGGUUGGAGUGACCAAGUAUACUUUAUGGCAUCUGCGUUUAAAUGAUAUAACCGAAAGACGUGAAACUUUGCUUUGUGUAAGCGUAUUCAAGAAUUAAUCAAGAUGUUACAAGGCAACAAAAAAGGUUAUCAUUUAGCAGGCAUGGUCGAAUAUAAUAGUUGUAAAUCCUUCAUAGGUAAAAUAUAAUGUGAAAACAUGUUUAACGAAAUUAAUUUUGCAAUAUUCUGUUUGUUCUUGCCAGGACAUCUUGAACUAAUUGCAUAUUUAAUUUGUACUCAAGCUACCACCACAAUGUAAUUACCAGGAGAACUGCAGGAAAGGAAACCAGGAUAUUCUUUAUACAUUAAGAAUAUCCAAAUCAAUGUGCUUAGUCUUGAAAUCAGUGAUUAAGUGUUCCACAGAAGAUUUAAAAAAUCUGAGAGAUUAUGGCUAGUUCAAAGUUCCUAAUAAGAUUAUGAUCUAAUUUCUCAGCAUCAUGAAUGAGGAAUUAGAUACCCUUAAAAAAAAGAUAAGAUGAAUCAUUGACAUAUCAGGUAUAAUAUAUUAGUAUGCUGUACUGUUUCGUUGGAAUUUACAUAAUGCGAUUCCAUUAACUUAAAUUAGAUGACAUCUGGAUAUUUUGGUUACACUUUUCCAGAGUAAUGAAUCUUCUGAUCUACAGC
ensembl:lncRNA